GUAGGGAAUAUUGCACAAUGGGGGAAACCCUGAUGCAGCGACGCCGCGUGAGUGAUGAAGGCCUUCGGGUCGUAAAGCUCUGUCGUAUGGGACUAACAAAAUGAAGGUACCAUGCAAGAAAGGAUCGGCUAACUUCGUGCCAGCAGCCGCGGUAAGACGAGGGAUCCUAGCGUUGUUCGGAAUUAUUGGGCGUAAAGCGGGUGUAGGCGGGCCUGUCAGUCAGGUGUGAAAUCCCAGGGCUUAACCCUGGAAGUGCACUUGAUACUGCAGGUCUUGAGUGUGGUAGAGGCUAUUAGAAUUCUUGGUGUAGUGGUGAAAUACGUAGAUAUCAAGAGGAAUACCGGAGGCGAAGGCGGAUAGCUGGGCCAACACUGACGCUGAGACCCGAAAGCGUGGGGAUCAAACAGGAUUAGAAACCCCUGUAGUCC
rnacentral:rRNA from 1 species